GUAGUGUUUGUCUUAUGGAAUUUAACAAUUUGUUUUAUUUAUUUUUGUGGGCACAAUUAAAAAAACCUGAGCAAGUUUGUUACUCUGCUAUAAUGAAACAUGUUAAGGGGGUAAUAUGAAAAUAAAGUUAUUGUGAUAAGAGAAAUGCUAUCUUACAAAAAAGGGUGUACCAAUGACAGGCCGUCUACAACAGCAGCAUUCGCAUUAAGCAUGAAGUUUUGAGAGAAGUAUGGAAUGUUAUAUGUGCCUUCAUCAUACAUUCAUAUGGAAAGUGGAAAUUCAUGGUGGCGUUGGCAAAAAAUUCAACAUACAUUUUAAUGCCACACCAUAUUUAAUGUUGGUGGACUUAACAUUUGACAUAAUGUUAAUGAUAAAGUUUAUCAAAAGAACCAAAAGUUAAUCCCUUAAGUCUGCUCUCAAGUUCUCAACAAGUACACAAAUUGAACACACACACAUUCUUUUGAAAAAGCAGCAACGAAGCAAGAUGAGCUGAUGAGUGUAUUUAUUAGUAGACAUUUUCCGGCAACAUUGUAACAUUGCUAUGAGAGUUAAGUUCGGUGUUUUGUUUAUUUUAUGGAAUUUGACAUCUUCGUCGUUACUCAUUUUUGUUGGUGUAUUUUAUUUAAUCGUCGCUCCCGCAAAUAACAGGUGGAGAACAGAAUUAGAAUCAAAAGCAAAAGAAAAAUAACAAUUUUCGUGUUGUAUUUUAUUAUUACACCCAUUUAUGGCAUAUUUUCUCGAUUAUAUCGGGCGAGAGAUUAAUUUGUAAUUAGUGUUAUUCAGUUAUCGUGGACCGAGCCAAGAUGCGUUGUGGUUAGUGGAAAAACGUAGUCAAACACCUGGACGGACAGACUAAAGACACGACGUACCGCAGUAAAAUAGUACACGGUAUCCCACGGUAUCCUUCCCAAAGAAUGGGAAGGACGGUGGCGGUGGCAGUGGAGUGGAGGAAGAGGUGGCGGUUUUAUUGAAAAGUGUCCUCACUAUUCAACCUGGACUCGGUAACUAUUAACAUAAAUCACUGAGUAAAAAGUGGACAUGUAAAAAAAGCCUCUGGUGCCGCCGACAAUCCGUAUGAAAUACUACAAUAACAAAUAAACCGCCGGGAAUCCGGAAGUUUAUGUCGAAUACUUCUACAUCUCUCCAAAACUUCAUGUUUAAAACUUAUGGUGCUGCUGCUUUUGUCGUCGGCAUGUUGUUGGAACACCCUUUUUAACAGAGAGCGUUGACAAAAAUAAAUUGUUAAAUUCCAUAAAACAAUCAAUACGAGAAGCAUGCAUACCACCUAUUUUGUGAGCAAUGUUGCAGCAACGUCCAAAUGCUGGAGUUUCGUCCCAGCGAUAAGUCGUCAAUACAAAUAUCGAUUGCGAACCCGUUUAAUCGAGUUUUGUCGCAGGGCACCGAUGAAUGACAAUUUCUCCCAUACACUUUUAAAAUUGUUUUGGGUUUUGCAUAGUCUUGUACUGAGUUCAACUUUUCGACCGAAAACCUGUCAAAACACACUAUAAGAAUAUGAUGACGAAAAGAAUACAAAGUCAUUCCGCAGAAGUAGUAUCAUGAUAUAAUUACUAGGUAGUGUACCGUUAACAGCUGAGUAAAAUUUUUUCUCGCGAUGUCCAUCUAUCUGUCAACGAGAUUUGGUUUUGUGUGCGUAUUAUUGUUGAGAACCAUUACACACAAAUAACGAAAAAUGGCGCGAACUAGGAACAUGCUCAAAAUCAGAAUUAAACUAAUCACUGAUUUUGACAGAUAUUGGACUUAAUAUUUUGUUGUUGUGCAACUGCCACUACCUGUAAAUGAAUAUAUCUUGAAUAGUAUUGAGUAUUAAUCCUAGUACUGUCUUCGACUUUUCACACGAACUGUCAAAACGCACUAUAAAAAAUGGUGACGAAAAUAAUGCGAACAUAUUCCGUACAAGUGGUACUGAGUUCUAUAAGCAAAGUAGUAGCGACAUGUCGCUGCAUCAGGUGAUAUUUCGCAUAAUUUUAAUUGCCAAUGUAUUGUAAUUAAAUGUUCACGAAAUGGACCGAAUCAACUCUGCUUCAAGACUGUAGUCUUUGUUCAUGAUACAAUUAGAUGUUUCGUCGUUAGCACAGCAACAAAAAUCAACCCCCAAAGAAACUACCUGGCAAAUGCCGUAAAUUGAAAUAUCAAAGUGGUUUUAGAAAUAAACUUUGUUUUAUAACUUGGUCGGAUUUCGCAAUAUUUUCGCUGUGACUGAAAUCAGUGAUAAGUGCAACUCUGAUUUUAAGUAAGUUAUUAGUUCGCGCCAUUUUUCGUUGUUUGUGUGUUAUGGUUCUCAACUAUAAUUAUAAAUUUCGCUUAAAAUAUAGUACUGACUUUAUUCGCAGCGAAAAUGCCUAUUAAAUUAUUAUGAAAUCCCGCGGACGAAAAAGGACGCCCCUUUUUAAGUCAUGCGCCCCUUGGAGUUCAAAUAUUAAGGAAUACCACAAUGGCAAUGAAAUCCACUGAAUAAAUGGGGUCGUUCUUUUACUGUCGCCGAAAGCAAUUGAGCUCUACUAUUUACAUACAAUGUCAUAUCUGAACGCAUCAUGGCGGCAAGAUUAAAUUCAAAAUUCUGCAAAAUAUCUAUUGUACAAUGCUACGGGCCAACCGAACCCGAUGAUGACGAAACAAAGGAUCAAGGAUCAACACAGUGACACGUCCUCUACCAAAAAGAGACAUUAAACUUGUUAUGGGGGGAUUUCAAUGCCAAGGCGGGAAAUAAUAACAAUAAUCUACAAUCAAUCAUGAGAUGCAAGGACUUGGAAUGAUAAAUGCGACAGAUUGGUUGAUUUCUGCGCAAGAAACUGCCUCAUUAUUGGAGGCACAAAAUUCACCCAUAAAAAUAUACUUGGGAACCCCAGAUGGAAACACCCAUAGUCAAAUCAACCAUGUACUGGAUGUAAAAACUAGACGAGCAUCCGAAAUCGAUAGUGCUCUUAGUGGCCACUCCACGUCUACGACCAGCCGUCGUGAAAAGGAGUCAAACAAAAAUCGCACGCGACUUCAAAACAGCAUUAACUGAGAAGCUACAAAAUUUCACCCAGACAUAGGCCAACAUAACAACAGCAUGUACGGAGACGGCCAUCUCUAUCAUAGGCACUGCUAGACGAUUCCAAAAACUAUAGAGGAAAUAAAACACCGGAAACGUCUAAACAACACUCUGCUUCAGCAAAAUCAAGUGUAACAAAAUCCGCAGCCAAAACUGAAUAUCGUAAGCUCCGACCCUUUUAACCCCCCUGCGCACAGCUCCACCAAUCUGCGAAAAACCUGAAGCCGUUCUGGUCUCACUCAAAAGCUGACAAUGUACCUGUCGAACUGUUGCGGUAUGGGGCACACCUCAUAGCACAAGGGAUCGCCCUAAUAAUCAGAGAGGCCUGUGAUACAAACGCUGUCCCCUCGGAAAGGAAGAAGGGGAACAUGGUUACAAUCUCAAAGAAGGGUGGCAUUGUUAAACGCAAUAAAUAAAUUGAUGGUAUGUUUUCUUCUGCAGCGUAGACAGGUUUUCGGCAAAGACGUUCCUGUGCUGACCACAUUAACAUUUUGCACAUAAUCAGUCUUUACAAUAUAAUACACACGCUUUGAGCAUGAUUUUGGUAUUGAUUCGCGAAGUCCAAUGUGAAGCACGCUAUUGAACAAAUAUAUCCCCGAAAAGAUCGUGACACUAAUCAGGGAGCUGUAAAGGAAUGCAGAAGUUUCAGUUCGUUUCCAUGUAAAAGAGAUCCGUUCUUUCGAGAUCAAUAAAGGGGUGAAGCAGGGGUGCAUCUUAACACGGAUGCUAUGUAUAAUUUUACUAGCUUCCGUCUUAGAGGCGACCAAUGCUGAGGUACCCUAUGACAUUCGCUGGGACCUACACGACUUUCUUGGUGACAUCGACUACGCGGAUGAUAUAUGCCUCUUGGCGUAUAGCUUUGAGCACAUAAAAGCGAAAUUGGAACUGAAGACGCGACCAAAGAAGGCCUGAAAAUAAACAUAGCUAAGACCAAAUUGAUGCGGAUACUACUAAAUUUUCCAUGAACGCUGCAAUAAGGAACAGAUGCGGAUAGGAACAAAAAAUCUGACACCGCUCAUUAUAAACGGCCAUGUUAUUCAAGACGUCGAUAAUUUUUCCUACCUUGGCAGCAAAAUAUCAAAGAACUUAGGAUUGGAAGCAGACGUACGCAAACAUAUUAACAACGCUAGAAGCGCCUUUCUUAAACUAAACAAAAUUUGGAGAUGCAGUGACAUCUCACACAAUACAAAAUUCAGAAAGUUAAACAGUUGUGUGAAAUCUAUUUUAUUAUAUGGACUGAAACCCGCAAGGUCAGCGAAGGAGAGGUCGCCCGAGAAACACAUGGUUCCGCUGUAGAAAAGGAGAGUUGGAAGAAACCCACAUAUCGUGGAAUCAAACCAAUGGUGGUUCAAAUCCAAUGAUUUUAAUGUGUAGUCAUUUCAUUUAUUUUGUGCAAUUUAAUACAAAGCCAAUAACAAUUUUUAGAGCUAAUUUCGACCUAAUAGUCUUUUGAAUAAAUUUACUUUCACCUAAUAGUUUUGAAACUGAUAUAAACACUGUUGCACUUACAUAUGGACAACGAGGCGAUGUGCAAUAGGCAUCUUGUGGAUCCUGUUUCUUCAUUCUACUCCUUUUGUCCAGCUUUCUUCGAUUGCUGG